CUGGGGAGCCCAGAAUUGGACACAGUACUCCAGGAUUGGCCUCGCCAGGGCUGAGUAGAGGGGCAGGAUCACCAGUAUUUUCAUGGAGGCUCAGGUACUUUUAAUCCCUGAUAUUUCCUCAAAUACAAUCCUCACAGAGGAAUAGCAGCAGUGUUAAAAUGCCUGUAGAACAAACACCAGCACAAGCUCCUCUUGGCACUAGCAUGAGGACUGCUUUUAUGGGCUCAUUCUGCUUUCACAGCAGCAUGAGGCAGUGAUAUGUUAUAGUUUCAAAUAGUUGUUGAUGCAUUUACUUUUAGCAAUAGAGAAGGCUGGGAGAAAGCCAGCUCCAUCUUCUUUUGCUUGAUAGUAGCAGUGCAGGAACAUAACACCUUUUCAGCUUGGAGGCUGUUCUCUAGUGUGGACGCAUUGACCAUUCUGGAAGAUCAGUUACAGUAGUGUCUAAAGAGCUUGCCAGGGCAAGAUGGUUUUGGGUGGCAGGAGAAGGGAGCUGUAGCUCCCUAAGAAGGGAGGAAAGCCUCUCUGCACAACUCCCAAAGGAGACUGAGGAUGCUUCCUAUGCUUUUCCCAAGCUUCUCUUGGGACAGCCUGUGCAGAACAAAUGGGGUGGGGUGUGGGAUUCAAGAGCAGUGCCCAGUCUGCUGAAGAGUUUGAAGAAAUCUGUGCAUCAGCACACAACCCUGCAGUAAAACAGCCUAUGGAAAAGGGACUGAGCUGGAAUACAAAAUGGCUGUGCAUUUUAAAGCUGUAUGCAUGACUCCUCCAGCUGUCUAAGGUCCUGGAAGACGGUCAGAUUGUGAAGUCAGGUACAACUGGUGUAUGAAGGCCUUCCAAGUCCCUAAUGUGAAGAUGUUGAUUUGAAGACUGCCAAGUGAAUCCCAGAAUGGCUGAGGUUGGAGGGGACCUCUGGAG